GUAAAACGUGUACGAAAGUGAAUAGUCAGUAUUACAAUUACAAUAAAAUAAACACGAAUCAAAACUUAAAUUGACACAGUGCGCAAACGUGUGUUCCACUGCAACGCUAAACAACGAGUGCAUCCGACAACGUUUAUCUCUCUUUAACACACUGCAAAUUACAUAAGUUGUCAUGUGCCUAACUUGAUUUUAAAAACCGUUAACUGUUAUAUUUUUAUAGGUUAGAUUAUUCACAUGCAAAAGCUGCCGAAAUGAUUUCGAGUUUUGUAGUGAAAACCUCUGCAAAUCAGCAAAACCCCGGCGGGAUGUGGUGCAAAUCGAUAUCACAAGGUGAUGAAUUUUCCAACACAAAAGAAAGAAUUCCACAUUAAUUUUUGUCGGCGUAGGUGUAUCAACGUUUUUUUCUUUCUUCACAAAAGACUUACAGUUCAUCAGGACAUCCGACUGGUUGUUGGAGGCGGUAGCCGUUGGCUAAGCAGGUUGCCAUUUCGAAGGGGUCUACUUCAUCAUAGGGUUGCUGGGCUAAAGUGGUUAAUUCCCAUAGGACCACACCAAAUG